GAUGUAGCUCAGUGGUAGAGCACUUGCCUAAUAUGCAUGAAACCCUGGGUUCAAAUCUCAGCAUC
rnacentral:tRNA from 1 species